rnacentral:tRNA from 1 species
GUAUAUUUAGUAUAAAAAUUACUUUUAUUUUCCAAAUAAAUAAUUUCUAAUCAAUAGAAAGUAUACAUUA